AAUCAACGCUGGCGGCGUGCCUAACACAUGCAAGUCGAACGCGAAAGCCCCGCAAGGGGUAAGUAGAGUGGCAAACGGGUGAGUAACACGGGGGUGACCUGCCUGCGAGUGGGGGAUAACGUCCCGAAAGAGACGCUAAUACUGCAUGACAUCCUGCUUUUGAAAAAGCGGAGAUCAAAGCUGGUGAUCGCAAGACCUAGCGCUUGAAGAGGGGCCCGCGCCUGAUUAGCUAGUUGGUGAGGUAACGGCUCACCAAGGCGACGAUCAGUAUCCGGCCUGAGAGGGCGGACGGACGCACUGGGACUGAGACACGGCCCAGACUGCUACGGGAGGCAGCAGUGGGGAAUUGUUCGCAAUGGGCGCAAGCCUGACGACGCAACGCCGCGUGGAGGACGAGGAUCUUCGGGUCGUAAACUCCUGUCGAGCGGGACGAACGCUUCGCGGAUGAAUAAUCCGCGGAAUUGACGGUACCGGUAAAGGAAGCCCCGGCUAACUCCGUG
rnacentral:rRNA from 1 species